rnacentral:rRNA from 1 species
AACGCUGGCGGCGUGUUUAAGGCAUGCAAGUCGAACGUGUACCUUCGGGUACAAGUGGCAAACGGGAGAGUAACACAUUGGUAACUUACCCUGAAGUUUGGCAUAACUCCGCGAAAGCGGAGCUAAUUCCGGAUGUGCUUAAUACAUACUUUGUAUUAAGUAAAGAUUUAUCGCUUCAGGAGAGGCCUAUGGUCUAUCAGCUUGUUGGUGAGGUAAUGGCCCACCAAGGCGACGACGGAUAGCGGGUGUGAGAGCAUGACCCGUCUCACUGGGACUGAGACACNUGCCCAGACUCCUACGGGAGGCUGCAGUCAAGAAUCUUCCCCAAUGGCCGAAAGGCUGAGGGAGCGACGCCGCGUGCAGGAAGACACCCUUCGGGGCGUAAACUGCUUUUCUGGAGGAAAAACUAAUGAUGGUACUCCAGGAAUAAGGGGCUGCUAACUUCGUGCCAGCAGCAGCGGUAAUACGAAGGCCCCAAGCGUUAUCCGGAUUUAUUGGGCGUAAAGAGCUCAAAGGUGGUUUUUUAAGUCUUCGGUUAAAUCCUGAUGCUCAACAUCAGAACCGCCGAGGAAACUAUUAAACUUGAGGGCAGAAGAGGCAGACGGAAUUGCCGGUGUAGUAGUAAAAUGCGUUAAUAUCGGCAAGAACACCAAUUGCGAAGGCAGUCUGCUAGGAUGACCCUGACACUACAAGAGCGAAAGCGUGGGUAGCGAAACGGAUUAGAUACCCGUGUAGUCCACGCCGUAAACGAUGGAUACUAGGCAUUUGGGGUAUCGACCC